UACGGAGGUGGCGAGCGUUGUUCCGGAAUCACUAGGGGCGUAAAGGGCGCGUAGGCGGUGCGGUAAGUCUGACGGUGGAAAUCUCCCCGGCUCAACUGGGAGUCUGCCGUGGAAACUGCCGUGCUUGAGUGUGGGAGAGGUGAGUGGAAUUCCCGGUGUAGCGGUGAAAUGCGUAGAUAGUCGGGAGGAACACCUGUGGCGAAAAGCGGCUCACUGGACCACAACUGACGGCUGAGGCGGCGAAAAGCUAGG
rnacentral:rRNA from 1 species